UUGGUUAUUACUUAUUAGCACACAAUCAGUUAUACACUAUUACAAUAUUGCAUGUAUGCCCUCUACGCUGUUUUACACUAUUGUAAUAUUUAUUACUUGAGUUCGUAUUAUUCGUAUCGUGUUGACGUGUUCUCUGUUGUCUGCUUGACGUUCGGACAGAUUGUUAAUAAUUGUAUUGCAUCAACCAUUUACUCUUGUUUUCAUUGUUUAAAUUGUUUUAAAUUGUAAUAUAAUGAGUGAUUGUGAUUCUUCAACCGAAGUCGAUCAAGUUGCAGAUUUAGAAGAACCAAUUUUACUCUGGCCAAAUUAUCAAAAAUAUUUUAAAGUAUUAACUAUUAAGAGUCAUUGAGGAUAAUUUUUUUUAUAAUAAGCUGAAAGUGAAGUGCUUAAGUUGUGUCGAUACAAAGUGUUACAAGGUGGAAUCACAUUCAAACUCUAAUAUAAGAAAACAUUUAAGCACACAACAUUCAACUAUAUUAAAGAAAAUUGAUCACAUUGAUAACGCAGCGAACAAAAACACAUUAAGGAGAUACAAUGAUGGAUCAUUGAAGCAUGAUGCUGGUAGUUCUUUAAAACAAUCAGAUAAAAACAACCAGUUUUAGAAGAUUUUUUGAACAACAAAAAAUUUACUAGUCAAAUUUUUAGUUGCAGCAUUAACAAAAGUAGUUGAUAUUUACAUGACUACAUGAUUAUAUACUGAUACAAUGCUAGUGAACGAUACGGUUGUUAAUGAUUUAGAAGAAAUCGAUGCAUUCAACUUGAACUUUCUAAAUGAUGAAGACCAUGAUUUGCCAUAUGCAUUAC